ensembl:lncRNA
GGGUUAGAGUUAGGGUUAGGGUUAGGGUUAGGGUUAGGGUUAGGGUUAGGGUUAGGGUUAGGGUUAGGGUUAGGGUUAGGGUUAGGGUUAGGUUAGGUUAGGGUUAGGGUUAGGGUUAGGGUUAGGGUUAGGUUAGGGUAGGGUUAGGGUUAGAGUUAGGGUUAGGUUAGGUUAGGGUUAGGGUUAGGGUUAGGGUUAGGGUUAGGUUAGGGUUAGGGUUAGGGUUAGGGUUAGGGUUAGGGUUAGGGUUAGGGUUAGGGUUAGGGUUAGGGUUAGGGUUAGGGUUAGGGUUAGGGUUAGGGUUAGGGUUAGGGUUAGGGUUAGGGUUAGGGUUAGGGUUAGGGUUAGGGUUAGGGUUAGGGUUAGGGUUAGGGUUAGGGUUAGGGUUAGUUAGGGUUAGGGUUAGGGUUAGGGUUAGGUUAGGGUUAGGGUUAGGGUUAGGUUAGGGUUAGUUAGGGUUAGGGUUAGGGUUAGGGUUAGGGUUAGGGUUAGGGUUAGGGUUAGG